AUUACUAAAAGAGAGAAUAGGAGGGUAGUUAGGUAGCUAUGGAGGAGGAGGAGGAGGAGGAGGAAGAGGAGGAGAAGAGGAGGUCAAGUAGGCUCUCUCCGCCUCAGUAUUAGAAGGACCAGCAAAGGAAGAGGAGGCUGGUGGAAAAGUUAGAAGCUACGGAGACGUGGUUUCUAAGAAGAAUGCAAAGGCCAUGGACAGGAGAGUAACCAGUGAAGUGCUGCGACGUGCAGGAAUGCAGACAAAGUUGCAGGUGAUGCGUAGGUGUGACUGGUCUGCAGUGGUCGGACAUCUUGCCUGAAGUUAUCCUGCGUGGACGAGGAAGGCGCGACACUUAGAACCGCAUCUAUGGAGUAUUUUAAGAGGAGAGAGAGAGAACGAGAGAGAACUGACGACUGAAGUUCUCUCCUCCAUAGAGAAGAGGGCAGACAGACUGAAGAAAUGGGAAGGGACAGGAGAGAGAAAAAAAAAAAAAAGAAACCAAGAAGCGAAGGAAAAAUGCCAACCGCUCACCAAAGGUUCGUUCCCCGGCAUAGCUGGCUUGCCUUCUGAACCCAGUAUUGUUAGACUUGUGGGAUUAGCAGUGUUGCUGAUUAACAAGCAUUUUGUUCGUAAGAGUUCGAGAGACUCUGGUCUUUGAAGUUAAAAAAAUUUAUUUUAUUUUUUUUUAAUACUUUCUUGUCCUCCUUUUUGGAUUACAGUUUCUUCGCACGCUUUUCGAGGUAAAAUAAAGAAGUCUUGUUUUCUCCGGAGGCUUUUUGAGGUAAAAAAAAAAAAAAAAAAAAAAAUCUUUACACGGAAAUGUUCUUCAUAUUUUUCUUUUCAUAAAUAUAUAAAAACCGUUUUCUCCGGAAAAAAAGUUUUCUCUGGAGACUUCUGAUGUAUACUAUAAUUCUGAGGUAAAAAUAAAGGCAAUAUUUUCUCGA